rnacentral:rRNA from 1 species
GACGAACGCUGGCGGCGUGCCUAAAACAUGCAAGUCGAACGGUGUAGCAAUACACAGUGGCGAACGGCGGAGUAAUACAUGAACAACGUGCCCGGAAGACUGGGAUAGUCAGGGGAAACCCUGGGUAAUACCAGAUGUGGCCGAUCUUUGGCAUCUUAGAUCGAUUAAAGGGUUUUUCGCUUCCGGAGCGGUUCAUGGCCUAUCAGGUAGUUGGUGAGGUAAAGGCUCACCAAGCCGACGACGGGUAGCGGGUCUGAGAGGAUGAUCCGCUCGAGUGGGACUGAGACACGGCCCACACACCUACGGGUGGCAGCAGUUGGGAAUCUUGCACAAUGGGGGGAAACCCUGAUGCAGCGACGCCGCGUGGAGGAUGAAGGAUCUAGGUCUGUAAACUCCUUUUUCAUGGAAAGACUUAGGACGGUACCAUGAGAAUAAGGACC